CAGUCGCCGCGGUAAUACGUAGGGUGCGAGCGUUAAUCGGAAUUACUGGGCGUAAAGGGCUCGCAGGCGGUUUCUUAAGUCUGAUGUGAAAGCCCCCGGCUCAACCGGGGAGGGUCAUUGGAAACUGGGAAACUUGAGUGCAGAAGAGGAGAGUGGAAUUCCACGUGUAGCGGUGAAGUGCGUAGAGAUGUGGAGGAACACCAGUGGCGAAGGCGACUCUCUGGGCCAACACUGACACUGAGGCACGAAAGCGUGGGGAGCAAACAGGAUUAGAUACCCCUGUAGUCCCUGUCUCUUAUAC
rnacentral:rRNA from 1 species